CGCAUGAACGCAGACAGCGGUGUUUGGGCAUGAAUCUCAUGGAACUAAAAUCGGAUACAGUCAAAUACAUGACUUCCAUAAAAUUUCUGAACCCCUGAACUGAUCUGGGUGAUUUUUGGAUAUGUUGGUCACCCAGAUCAGGGCUAUCAGGGGGAUGUAACAAUUGUGGGGAUUUGAUGUGUUUUGGGGUACUUUGGGGGUUUUACAAAAAUAUGUGUUUUUUCUGCCUGGAGAUAAUUGAGUUAAUACAGUGCUGAUGGUGUUGGGUAGAGUGCUUGGAGUCCUCGGUAAGCACUAGGAGCAUUGGUUGGCGGAGACAUCUGGUCGGGGUGCCAGGCGGUCUGUCACAGUGCUGUUCUCUCUGCAUGGUCCUAGUGUCGACUUAGUU